rnacentral:rRNA from 1 species
AUGGCGCCCUCGACCGAAGGAAUGGAAGACCGGAUCUCGGAUGUCGAGGAAGUGAAACUACUGGAGGAUGUCAAGGACAAGAUGGAAGAUGGAGUGGUGGAGCCACCAGAUUGGCUACCAGAUGGUUGGAUAAUGGAGGUCAGACGUGGUGACGAUGGUGCCCUCUAUCGGUAUUACAUAUCUCCAGUGUCAGGGGCCAAAUUCAGGAUGAAGUCUGAGGUCUUGAACUACCUUUUCUCUGAGAUUGAUGAGCACUUCAUAGAAGCCAGGGAGUCUGUUGCUCGUAGCAUGCUUGUUAGGUCACAUGAAUGGCUUCCAAAGGGGUGGUUGAUCGAGAUCAGAGCGGGCGGACGAAACAUGGACAAGAUGUACAAGUUUUAUGUUUACUCAGCACUUGGAGUACGAGUAUUUUGUAAAGAAGAUGUACUACUAUAUGUUAAGGAAAUGAAGAUCGCCAAUUGUGAUACAAAUGGACAAUGCGACACUAACUCUCGAGAUAAUAUCCUUGCAGAAGUGGAGUUCAACCCAUUUGGGUUGCCACAUGGUUGGGUGAAAGAACUGGUAUACAGAAAAACAUUGGAAGGAAUAAGGAAAGACCCGUACUACACGGACCCUGUCAAUCAAUAUGUAUUCAGGACAUUAACGUCUGCAGUUCGCUACCUUGAGACGGGAAAAGUUACAAAACGUGCAUUUUUUGCAAGGACAAGUGUCCAUGAACUGUACAAUUUUGAGAAGUCUGCGAAACUGCAUGAGUGUUUGCGCAAAAGGUUGACAAAAAAUGUGAUGACUGAUACAACACAUGCAACUCCGUCGAGACCUAGAAGAUCAAAAAGCGUGGAAAAGAUAAAUCUGAAUGAGAAAAAAUUAUGUCCUUAUGAGGACAGCAACACCUCUACGGACUUAGAUUCACCAGAUGAGAACCAAGAAAUCAGGAAGAGAAGUUUGAAGGCUAAAGGGAAAGAAGUAUACUCCUACAAAACUAUAAGGCGUCCAAGAGGGAGGCCAUGCAAAGUAGCGAAGGAAACUGAUGGAGACGUAUCCCGGGAAAAAGAAUAG